UUGAAAGAUGGCUUCGGCUAUCACUUUUGGAUGGUCCCGCGGCGUAUUAGCUAGAUGGUGGGGUAACGGCUCACCAUGGCAAUGAUACGUAGCCGACCUGAGAGGGUAAUCGGCCACAUUGGGACUGAGACACGGCCCAAACUCCUACGGGAGGCAGCAGUAGGGAAUCUUCCACAAUGGACGAAAGUCUGAUGGAGCAACGCCGCGUGAGUGAAGAAGGGUUUCGGCUCGUAAAACUCUGUUGUUAAAGAAGAACAUAUCUGAGAGUAACUGUUCAGGUAUUGACGGUAUUUAACCAGAAAGCCACGGCUAACUACGUGCCAGCAGCCGCGGUAAUACGUAGGUGGCAAGCGUUGUCCGGAUUUAUUGGGCGUAAAGCGAGCGCAGGCGGUUUUUUAAGUCUGAUGUGAAAGCCUUCGGCUCAACCGAAGAAGUGCAUCGGAAACUGGGAA
rnacentral:rRNA from 2 species